rnacentral:rRNA from 1 species
ACGGAAGGCAGCAGUGAGGAAUAUUGGUCAAUGGGCGGAAGCCUGAACCAGCCAUGCCGCGUGAAGGAAUAAGGUCCUAUGGAUCGUAAACUUCUUUUGUUGUGGAGCAAUAAGGUCUACGUGUAGAUCGAUGAGAGUACACAGCGAAUAAGCAUCGGCUAACUCCGUGCCAGCAGCCGCGGUAAUACGGAGGAUGCAAGCGUUAUCCGGAUUUAUUGGGUUUAAAGGGUGCGUAGGCUGUUUGUCAAGUCAGUGGUGAAAGCCCGGAGCUCAACUCCGGAACUGCCAUUGAUACUGUCAAGCUGGAAUACAGAUGCCGUGGGAGGAAUGAGUAGUGUAGCGGUGAAAUGCAUAGAUAUUACUCAGAACACCGAUUGCGAAGGCAUCUCACGAAUCUGUCAUUGACGCUGAGGCACGAAAGCGUGGGGAUCAAACAGGAUUAGAUACCCUGGUA